rnacentral:rRNA from 1 species
UAAGCCAUGCAUGUCUCAGUACAAGCCAAAUUAAGGUGAAACCGCGAAAGGCUCAUUAAAUCAGUUAUGGUUCCUUAGAUCGUACCCACAAUUACUUGGAUAACUGUGGUAAUUCUAGAGCUAAUACAUGCAAACAGAGCUCCGACCGGAGACGGAAGGAGUGCUUUUAUUAGAUCAAAACCAAUCGGUGGCGGGUUUCGCUCGUCAUCGUACAACUUGGUGACUCUGAAUAACUUUACGCUGAUCGCAUGGUCAUCGCACCGGCGACGCAUCUUUCAAAUGUCUGCCUUAUCAACUGUCGAUGGUAGGUUCUGCGCCUACCAUGGUUGUAACGGGUAACGGGGAAUCAGGGUUCGAUUCCGGAGAGGGAGCCUGAGAAACGGCUACCACAUCCAAGGAAGGCAGCAGGCGCGCAAAUUACCCACUCCCGGCACGGGGAGGUAGUGACGAAAAAUAACGAUACGGGACUCAUCCGAGGCCCCGUAAUCGGAAUGAGUACACUCUAAACCCUUUAACGAGGAUCAAUUGGAGGGCAAGUCUGGUGCCAGCAGCCGCGG